ensembl:lncRNA
CCAAUAUUGCCCACUAAACCAUAUCCCUAAGUACUAUAUCUACUCUUUCCUUAAAUACCCCCAGAGACAGUGACUCCACCACUUCCCUAGGCAAUCUGUUUAAAACAGCCCUAAAUCAAAUAGCUAUAUUUUAGUCAUCUUCCGCCUUCUAUAAUUACUGCAGAGGUCCUCCUUCUUCCCUAGAAGAUCAGCUCUGGGAGUGCUGCACAGGGAAAGCUGUGCCCCAUGAGUCCACAACAUCUGGUAAAUUAUAAAGUCACAGAAUCAUUUGAGUUGGAAGGGACUCCCAAAGGGCAUCUGGUCCAACUCCCCUGCAACAAACAAACAAACAAUAAGAGCUUAUUUUCAGAAUGUAAAUCAUAACAGUAUCACUAAACAAUACACGCGCACACGCAAAAACGAAACAACCCACAAUUCGUCUGCUCAAUACUCUUCACUUUGAUGCAUGCAUUAUAUGUUGUCCAGGUGUUCUGAUACCACAAAAUUAUGUAUAACUUAGUCAUUUCUGAAAGACUUUGUGUUCUGUUUUGUUUGGUCCCAGUCAAAAAUAUUACAUUCAUAAAUUGGUAAGGAGUAUGCAUAUUGUUAAUUCCUAAAUCGCUGCCUAUUGUAAAAGAUUGAUGAGCCAGCAGUAUGCCCUUAUGGCCAAGAAGGACAAAGGUAUCCUGGGGUGAAUUAAAAAGUGCAGGGUGGUGAUAUUCCCCUUCUAUUCUGCCCUGAUGAGGUCACAUCUGGAGUACUGUGUCCAGUUCUGGGCUCCCCAGUUCAAGAAAGAUAGGGUUCUUGUAGAGAGAAUCCAGUGUAGGGCCACAAAGAUUAUUAGAGACCAGGAGCAUCUCCCAUAUGAAGAAAGGCUGAGAGACCUGGAAUUGUUCAGUCUGGAGAAGAGAAGACUGAGAGGGGAUCGUCACUGCUUAUAAAUGUCUAAUGGAUGGAUAUCAAGUGGAUGGGUCCAGGCUACUUUUGGUGGUGCCCAGCAAAAGGACAAGGGUCAAUGGGCAUAAACUGGAACACAGAAAGUUCCAUACGAACAAGAGAAAUAACUUUCCUACCAUGAGGGUGAGAGAGCACUGGAGCAAGCUACCCAGAGCAGUUGUGGAGUCUCCUACCCUGUAGAUAUUUGAAAACUCAUCUGGAUACUUUCUAUGUAACCUACUGCAGGGAACCUGCUUUAAUGAAAGAGGGAACUAUGUGAUCUCCAGAGGUCCCUUCCAACUCUUAUGAUUUUAUGAAAGCGCUAUAUUAUUAAAAAUGUUUAAUAUC